UACGUAGGGGGCCAGCGUUGGUCCGGAAUCAUUGGGCGUAAAGCGCGCGUAGGCGGCCAGAUAAGUCCGGUGUGAAAGUCACAGGCUCAACCUGUGAAUGCCGCUGGAAACUAUCUGGCUAGAGUCCGGAAGGGGCGAGUGGAAUUCCUGGUGUAGCGGUGAAAUGCGCAGAUAUCAGGAGGAACACCUAUGGCGAAGGCGGCACUCUGGGCCGGAACUGACGCUGAGGAGCGAAAGCGUGGGGAGCGAACAGG
rnacentral:rRNA from 1 species